rnacentral:rRNA from 1 species
UACGUAGGGUGCAAGCGUUGUCCGGAAUUAUUGGGCGUAAAGAGCUCGUAGGCGGUCUGUCACGUCUGCUGUGAAAACUCGGGGCUUAACCCCGGGCCUGCAGUGGGUACGGGCAGACUAGAGUGCGGUAGGGGAGACUGGAAUUCCUGGUGUAGCGGUGAAAUGCGCAGAUAUCAGGAGGAACACCGGUGGCGAAGGCGGGUCUCUGGGCCGUAACUGACGCUGAGGAGCGAUAGCGUGGGGAGCGAACAGG